rnacentral:rRNA from 1 species
UACGGAGGGAGCUAGCGUUGUUCGGAAUUACUGGGCGUAAAGCGCGCGUAGGCGGCUUUGUAAGUUAGAGGUGAAAGCCCGGGGCUCAACCCCGGAACUGCCUUUGAAACUGGAAGGCUUGAAUCUUGGAGAGGCGAGUGGAAUUCCGAGUGUAGAGGUGAAAUUCGUAGAUAUUCGGAAGAACACCAGUGGCGAAGGCGACUCGCUGGACAAGUAUUGACGCUGAGGUGCGAAAGCGUGGGGAGCAAACAGG